UUUGGGAUCAUGUGGACAUAGGCAGCAGCGAUCUCCCUGUGGAAGACCGUGUCUUGGUUGUAGGAAAUAAGUUCAUUACUGAUGUUUACCGUCUGCACGGGGGUCCGGAAGCAGAGGUGGCUGCACCCCAGCAGCUGGGCAAACACCUUCCGGAAGUCUGCAUUAAAGGCAUAGAUGAUGGGGUUGAGAGAGGAGUUGGCCCAGCCAAACCAGACGAAUAUGUCGAAGGUGGUCUCGCUGACACAAGGGAAGCCAGUCCUUGGGCCCUGGGCAUCUCCACUGCUGCAGAAGGGAACCAUACAGUUCAGGAUGAAGAAAGGCAACCAGCAGCACACGAAGACCCCCAUGAUCACGGACAGGGUUUUGAAGACCUUGGUCUCCUUCUUGAUGGAUGCUCGCAGGCUGGGGUCAGGUUCGCAGGCCCCACGGCUCCGGCAACUCUGAGCAUGCUCAGCUGCCCUCUCUAGGGAGGAGAUCCGGCGGAUCUGAACCUGUGCAAUGCGGUAGAUGCGCGUGUAGGUCACUAUCAUGAUGGCUACCGGGAUAUAGAAGCUGAUGAGCGACGAGGAGAUGGCGUAGGUUCGGUUCAGACUGGAGUCACAGUUCUCUGUUCUCCCUUCUAGCUCCCAACCUUCCUCCCAGGGUGUUUCAUUGGACAGCAGGCCCUCUCGGCCCUGGGAGCCUGCCUUGUCUCUGUGCCAAUUGAGUUGGACCGGGAUGAAGGAGAUGAGGAUGGACAAGGUCCAGGCCAGGGCCACCAUGACCAGGGCUACACGCUGGGUCAUCUUGCGCUCGUAGCGGAAGGGUCUGGAAAUAGCCCAGUACCGGUCCACGCUGAUGAUACACAGAUUCAGGAUGGAAGCAGUGGAGCACAUGAUGUCAAAGGCCACCCAGAUGUCGCAGAAUGCCCCAAAGGGCCAGUACCCGGCCACCUCAGCCACUGCCUUCCAAGGCAUGACCAGCAAUGCCACGAAGAGGUCUGAGACGGCCAGGGAUACGAUGAAGAUGUUGGUCAUUUUGGCGCGCAGGUGGCGGCUGCGGACGAUAGCAGCACACACUAGGACGUUGCCGAGCAAGGUCCAGACGAUUAGGAGAGUCAGGAGGCCAGCGGUGACCACCUGCGCGGGUCCCAGCGGGGCUGCCGAGCCCCCGGGGGCGUCCACCUGCGCCAGUUGCCUCUGCAACCCCAGCCACGCCCGAUGUGCGGUGCCAUUGCGCCCAGGAGGCAGCAUGUCGCGCUGGGUAGCUCGGGCUCACUGCGUGCGAUCCCAACUUCGUCCCUGCGCCCCGCGGAAGACCCCAUCGGGCACCCCAGAGGGUGCUCCCGGCCCUGCAGCUGACCGUCCCCAGACCCGAGGGGCGCUCACCCUGCACUGCUUGGGAUCCUUUAAUGGUAUCAGUCUUGCGCGCCUCUAGUCCCCAGGAUGGGACAGGAAGCGACCGGUGCCCGCGGGCCGAUCCUGUCGGCAGCGCGCCGGACGGCGGCUGCCGCUGCGUCUGGUUCUGAGUCGUAGAAACGCAGAGCGGCCGCCAACGGGGGCGGGGUCCAGAGUCGCGGGCACCGGGCGAUCUCUCUAGCGCGGUGGCUGCCACGGCACGCGCGCCCGCCCGCCCCUAUCAGCCACGCUUCUGCGGCCCGCGCGCCCUCCCACCUGCGUCCUGGAAUUGUGACUCUGCUGUCUUCUUCCAACUUUAGAGGCCACACACAGAUCCGAGAGUGGCCUCGGUGCCAUACCCUCGCCCCAAGCCCAGGAACUGGCUUCUCCCAAACACCAGGUGCCUCUCCUGGACCACCUCUGGGUGAAGAAGUAGAUCGCAAAGGCCACUAGACAAACCAGACUUGGAGAAUAAGGGGGUGGCCUUCGAUGUCACAACCUCAUCCCGAACCCCUAUUCUGGGUCACAGGACCCUGAAUUCUCUACUCAGCUUUUCUGGUUCUUGGUUUCUUCUCCUAGAAAGAGAGACAAAAAGGUCCCCUUCCUGAGCGCGCAAGGAUUUGAGAGAGUCACCCAGAAGGUAAUCGGGUGUUGCCUCCUGUUCCCGCUGCUUGGCCUCCUCCCAGAAGCACUUGCGCUUUGAGCAUCUCUCGGAGCCCUUGCAUCUGAACCUCCAAUACCUUUGCAUCUUUCACCUUGCUCCCAUCUUUCUGCUGGGGGAGACGGACAGACCACCUGUUCCCGUGCCAGAACGCGAACUGGACAGUCAUCCUUCACUCGUGCCUCUCCUCUCUGUGGCUGGUGGCCUUGUCUCUGAUUUCAUUAAGAUGCUUUAAAAAUCUGCAGCUCCAUCAUCCAUUGACACCCAAGCACUUGCUGAUGGGAGAGGUACAGCAAUUCACGUCAUAGAAGGACGAGGUUUGCACAGUGAAGCAAGAGAGAACAAUAUCAACCAUGGACUCCGUUUCCCAAUGUCCACAAAACUGCUGUUCAUGUCGGAGGCACAGCUACAACCUAUAGAUCUUGCUUAGGCCUUGGGGAUAAAGAGAGAACCAUAGACCUGCUCAUUCCCAUCUGGGCCUUGGCUUCUAAGAAGAGACAAAUAAUAAGAGGUUUGGACUGAGGGUGUGUCUCCGUGACAGAACAGGAGUACAUGAGGCCUGGGGUUCAAUCCACAGCACC
rnacentral:lncRNA from 1 species